AGGAUUUUAUUGCACCGCCACAAUGGAGUAAAGUCCAAAGUCCACUAUGGAGCACAGUCCAAUAGUGGGUCCUUAGACAGACAGCAGAGGUCCUGCUGUGGCUGCCUGCCUCUCUGUCUGUCUGUCUGGGCUCCUGCUCGCUCCGGCUAUGAGGAACUAGUUAGGGUGAUUUAGGCUAUCCCCUCUUUCAAAAUGUACGUACCCCAGGGCCACUUCCGUGCGGACCAGGGCCAGGCCCAGCCUCUGGAUCUGUUGUCUUCGGAGGGAUCGUUGACAUCUCAGGAGCUGAAGACCGAGCCAGGGACCAGGCCAGAUCAGGCGGAGGUCUGUCCAGUCUGUGGAGACAAAGUGUCUGGCUACCACUAUGGACUGCUCACCUGCGAGAGCUGCAAGGGUUUCUUCAAGCGUUCGGUGCAGAACAACAAGCGUUACACCUGUGCAGAGAGACAGAGCUGUCCCAUGAACCCCUCCCAGAGGAAACGCUGCCCCUACUGCCGUUUCCAGAAGUGCCUGGCCGUGGGCAUGAAGAGAGAGGCGGUAAGGGCAGACCGAAUGAGAGGUGGCCGGAACAAGUUUGGCCCUCUGUAUCGACGAGACAGGCAGAUGAAACAGCAGAGAGGGGUCUUCCGCCACCAGCAGCACAACACCACCCCCUACAGGAUCAAACUGGAAAGUGCACAAACGCAUCAGCCUUCCGUUUCAAACAACAUUCACCUGAUGUCCAGUCACACAUCGGCACCCCUUCCCUCUGACAAUUUCCACCAAUCGCAGGCCUACCCCUCUAAUCUGGGCCAUUCAGAGCUCCACCCCAUGCUUCUGGACUGCACCUUGAACCGGGACAGGAGGGCUCUAGCUCCUCCCCCAUCCCUGGCUUACCCUGAAGUGUACCACCGUUCCUCCCAUGGAGGGGGAUCAGGAUACCACCAGGGGAAAAGUGAGAUGAUGCCUUACAGCUACGGCCCGGCACCUCCAUCCCCGCCCACACCUAAAGGGUUACUCACCACGCCCACAACCACACCGAGCUCCACCCCAACCCCGACCUUAACCUCCAUGUUGACUGCUCCCAUACCUAGCUUCCUGGCCCAGCUUCUGGAGGGUGAGCCGGAUGAGCGCCAGCUGUGUGCCAAGGUGCUGGCCAGCCUGCAGAGAGAGCAAGCAAGCCGUGGGAAACACGACCGCCUCAACACCUUCAGUAUCAUGUGUAAAAUGGCCGACCAGACUCUGUUUGGGCUUGUGGAAUGGGCCAGGAACAGUGCUCUCUUCAAGGAGCUUAAGGUGGAGGACCAGAUGGUGCUGCUGCAGAGCUGUUGGAGUGAGCUGCUGGUGCUGGAUCACCUGUGUCGACAGGUGGCCUACAGCAGAGAAGGCUGCAUCUAUCUGGUCACAGGACAACAGAUUGAGGUGUCGAACAUCCUGACCCAGGCAGGGGUCACUCUGACCAGUCUGGUGUCAAGGACUCAGGACCUGGUGGUUAAACUCAAGGCCCUCCACCUGGACACACAGGAGUUUGUGUGCCUCAAAUACCUGGUCCUCUUCAACCCUGAUGUGAAGUCGGUGCAGGACCGCGGGCAGGUGGAGCGGACCCAGGAAAGGGUGAACCACACCCUGAUGGACCACACCCUCUACACCCACCCGGGUCACACCGACAAGUUUGGCCAACUGCUGCUACGGCUUCCUGAGGUUCGCAGCAUCAGCCUGCAGGUGGAGGAGUAUCUGUACCAGCGCCACCUACAGGGUGAUCUGCCCUGCAACUCAUUGCUCACAGAGAUGCUGCACGCUAAACACAGCUGAAUACCGCCUUGCCCUGCUAACAGAGAAUGCUUUACGCAGUUGAACAACACCCUGGGACUGUCCCAAAUGGCAACCUAUUCCGUACAUGGUGUACGGAAUAGGGCCCCCCCAUAGAGCUCUGGUCAAAAGUAGUGCACUAUAUACUGCAGUGCAUAGGGUGUCAUUUGGGACGUUUAACCCUGUUCCACUCAGAGAUGCUGAUUGCUAUGCACUUCUGAACAACUACCUGCUGGACUUGGCUGGUGGGCUCCCUCUCCUGACCUGGGUUGUGUUAAUUUGUCAUAAGGAGAGAUUACCUGGACUUGUCCAAUAAAAAAAAACUGUUUUUGUAUUCCAUUGUAAAACAUUUUUGCCAAGGUGUAGCAUGGUGAACACAACCCAGGGGUCUGUUCAAUAGGGCACAUCGUAGCAAAACAUUUUGCAAAGGAACGCAAACAGAACAAAAUGUAGGUAUUACCUCCCUGUUUCACUGCAUUUCAAAACAUUUUCUCCAUACUGAUCAAGUCCUGGGCAUCAGGGUGAUGUUCAACUGCCAAUGAGCCUGUUAUCAGUCCACCAAGAUUGUAAUCUUUGCUCAAAGGUAGACAUUGUCCCAAAGCACAGAUCUGAGAUCAGGGCCCAAUUUUUAAAAAGUUACCUAUCUGCAUAAAAUUAAUAAAAUGGAAGAAUGGGGACUUGAAUGUGGACUCUGGUUCUAUAUAUUCUUUCUAUGCAUUUACUCCUAUCCGAUAGCUGAAAUCCAUUUUUCCAAAGCUGGACCCAAUGACCCUAAUGCCAAUCCUAACCAUUAAGGGGAUAAGGCAUCAACAUCUGUUCCAGGGCCUGUGGUUAGUAACAACAACAACAACAAUCUACUUUGUGUGCUUCCUCCCAAGUAAUACUCAUCUCCAAUUGUUCAUUUGUUUGAAACCCCGAGUUAACUAGUCAGUAUUCAGUCAGAUGGGAGUAGGAACCAAAACACUGCUAUAUGCUUUCUCCUCUUCCCCUGUAUACACAUUAUGCAGAUGGCAUAUCAUUUGACAAGACAAUGUUGUGUAUCGGUUAUAUCUGUCAGACAAAUCAUGUCAUCCCUUUACCACAAGACCUGUUUGAAAUAAACAAGCAGAGGCGUCACUUCCCCCUCA